AGGACGAACGCUGGCGGCGUGCUUAACACAUGCAAGUCGAGCGGAAAGGCCCUUCGGGGUACUCGAGCGGCGAACGGGUGAGUAACACGUGAGUAAUCUGCCCCUAGCUCUGGGAUAGCUCCGGGAAACCGGGAUUAAUACCAGAUACGACCACUUUAGACAUCUGCUGUGGUGGAAAGAAUUUCGGCUAGGGAUGAGCUCGCGGCCUAUCAGCUUGUUGGUGAGGUAACGGCUCACCAAGGCGACGACGGGUAGCCGGCCUGAGAGGGCGACCGGCCACACUGGGACUGAGACACGGCCCAGACUCCUACGGGAGGCAGCAGUGGGGGAAUAUUGCGCAAUGGGCGAAAGCCUGACGCAGCGACGCCGCGUGGGGGAUGAAGGCCUUCGGGUUGUAAACCCUUUCAGCAGGGACGAAGCGAAAGUGACGGUACCUGCAGAAGAAGCGCCGGCUAACUACGUGCCAGCAGCCGCGGUAA
rnacentral:rRNA from 1 species